AACGAACGCUGGCGGCAUGCCUAACACAUGCAAGUCGAACGAGACCUUCGGGUCUAGUGGCGCACGGCUGCGUAACGCGUGGGAACCUGCCCUUAGGUUCGGAAUACCUCCCCGAAUGGGGUGCUAAUACCGGAUCAUGUCUUCGGACCAAGGAUUUAUCGCCUUUGGAUGGGCGCGUUGGAUUAGCUAGUUUGUAGGGUAAAAGCCUAUCAAGGCGACGAUCCAUAGCUGGUCUGAGAGGAUGAUCAGACACACUGGGACGGAGAAACGGCCCAGAAUCCUACGGGAAGCAGCAGUGGGGAAUAGAGGAAAAUGGGGGAAAGCCUGAUCCAGCAAUGCCGGGUGAGUGAUGAAGGCCUUAGGGUUGUAAAGCUCUUGUACCCGGGAUGAUAAUGACAGUACCGGGAGAAUAAGCUCCGGCUAACUCCGUG
rnacentral:rRNA from 1 species